rnacentral:lncRNA from 1 species
CCUGAACGAGAUAGAUGCUGUGACAAUCUUCAGAUAGCCUUUGCCGACAAACGGUGAGGCAGCUCCGAAUGCAACGCUUUGAAUUAUGCAUGAAUAAUUGGAUUCUUCCGGCAACAAAAGGAACGAAGUGACCUUGGGACACGACACAACAUAACCUGCAACGACUUCAAACAUCAGUUUCGUUAUUGAAAUUUGAUAAAUUUUACAUCUUUAGACAAAAAGGGGUAAAUAAUUAUUGACAUGCGAAUUUAUAUAUCUACCCAGUUUCCACACCAAUGAGGACUAAUAAUAUUUCCCUUAAAAGGAAAAAAAAGGAAGAACCAAUAUGAAUGGUUUGCGUACAUUGUGGCAUGCAUAUCCAGCACUACUAUACAUGUACAUGUCAGCAUCCAUCGGCUCUUUAUAAAAUUG